CAUCGCUUCAGACGGAUCAAUCAUCCAUCGCUCCGGCUAGAUGACAUCCGUCUCUUCAACCUCAUGUAUCAUCCAUCGCUUUGGCUGGAUGAUACACGCUGCUCAGACCUAGCUUACGACCCGCGAACCUAAGCGAUGGUUACAAAAUCCAAUUUACGUCCAAGCGCAAGUUUUCGAGGGGGAGUAUCACAAACUCUCCCGACACUUCUGUCUAUGGGAUGGAAGUCGUCACAUUUCAAGGGAGAGUAUCAACAAGCUCUCCCGACACUUCUGUCUAUAGGAUGGAAGUCGUCA
rnacentral:lncRNA from 1 species